AUUGAACGCUGGCGGCAGGCCUAACACAUGCAAGUCGAGCGAGCGGCGGACGGGUGAGUAAUGUCUGGGAAACUGCAUGAUGGAGGGGGAUAACUACAGGAAACGGUAGCUAAUACCGCAUACCCUCAGAUGUGCCCAGAUGGGAUUAGCUAGUAGGUGGGGUAACGGCGAACCUAGGCGACGAUCCCUAGCUGGUCUGAGAUGAUGACCAGCCACACUGGAACGGAGCCACUGCCCAGACUCCUACGGGAGGCAGCCGUUGGGAAUAUUGCACAAUGUGCGCAAGCCUUAUGCAGCCAUGCCGCGUGUGUGAAGAAGGCCUUCGGGUUGUAAAGCACUUUCAGCGGGGAGGCGUUACCCGCAGAAGAAGCACCGGCUAACUCCGUGCCAGCAGCCGCGGUAAUAC
rnacentral:rRNA from 1 species